rnacentral:piRNA from 1 species
UGGAAUGACAGCUGUGAGAGAGACCUUCC